UACGUAGGGGGCAAGCGUUGUCCGGAUUUAUUGGGCGUAAAGAGCGUGUAGGCGGCUUUACAGGUCCGUUGUGAAAACUCGAGGCUCAACCUCGAGACGCCGGUGGAAACCGUAAAGCUAGAGUCCGGAAGAGGAGAGUGGAAUUCCUGGUGUAGCGGUGAAAUGCGCAGAUAUCAGGAGGAACACCAGCGGCGAAGGCGGCGCUCUGGGCCGGUACUGACACUGAGGAGCGAAAGCGUGGGUGGCAAACAGG
rnacentral:rRNA from 1 species